rnacentral:rRNA from 1 species
GAUGAACGCUGGCGGCGUGCCUAAUACAUGCAAGUAGAGCGAAGCGGGGACGGGUGAGUAACACGUGGAUAACCUCCUAUAAGACUGGGAUAACUACGGGAAAACGGAGCUAAACCGGAAAAUGAAAAAUGGAUACGCGCUGCAUUAGCAAGUUGGUAAGGUAACGGCUUACCAAGGCAACGAUGCAUAGCAGUCCUGAGAGGGUGAUCAGCCACACUGGAACUGAGACACGGUCCAUACUCCUACGGGAGGCAGCAUUGGGGAAUCUUCCGCAAUGGGCGAAAGCCUGACGGAGCAACGCCGCGUGUGUGAUGAAGGUCUUCGGAUCGUAAAGUUCUUUUAGUCGGGAGGCGUUACCUACUCAGAAAGCCCCGGCUAACUCCGUGCCAGCCGCCGCGGUAAUAC